rnacentral:lncRNA from 1 species
UUGAACUAUUGUUGUAUUCUAAAGUAUUGCAAGAUUAAACAUCUUGUGAAGGAAAGGAUGUGGAACUACUCUUUCUUUUUAGGGUUUCGAUUCAACAAUUUCAUUUUUUCUUUUCUAUCGAUUGAGGUCUCACUUUUAAUUCUAUCAAUUGUAACAACACAUCCAAAUUUCAUCGCUUAUUUUCAGUAUUGUACUUGUUCUAUUUUGAAUUCUCAAUUUAGAAUUCCCAUUAAGACGUUUUUGUGCUUUUUUUUUUACCAGGUUUAGCAUUUGAAUUAGGGAUUUGCUUUUUCAAAUGGAGGACAGUGAACUUGAUUUCUCACCGUUGGGUUUGCGUUCAUCUUCCUCUCGCCGUUGGGUUUGCAUUCAUAUCUCUCAUCGCUGGGUUUACAUUCAGUUUCUUUCACCAGUGAUUAUAUGCAUGUCAUGUCAGGUGCAUUGCUUGUUUGUUUGCAAUUAAAUUUCGUAUCAACAUUAGUUUAUCACCACCUACAAUGUUUAAGGUUUCAUUAUGUUGUUAUUUAUUAUUACAGAAGGCUUAAAUAGUCAAGAGUUAGAGAGAAGGGAACCAAGGUAUUUUCAAGGGUGA